rnacentral:rRNA from 1 species
GACGUAGGGCGCGAGCGUUGUCCGGAUUUAUUGGGCGUAAAGAGUUCGUAGGCGGCUUGUUGCGUCGACUGUGAAAACCCGCGGCUUAACUGCGGGCUUGCAGUUGAUACGGGCAGGCUAGAGUUCGGUAGGGGAGACUGGAAUUCCUGGUGUAGCGGUGAAAUGCGCAGAUAUCAGGAGGAACACCGAUGGCGAAGGCAGGUCUCUGGGCAUUAACUGACGCUGAGGAGCGAAAGCAUGGGGAGCGAACAGG